rnacentral:rRNA from 1 species
CACGUAGUUAGCCGGGGCUUCUUAGUCAGGUACCGUCAUUAUCUUCCCUGCUGAUAGAGCUUUACAUACCGAAAUACUUCUUCACUCAUGCGGCGUCGCUGCAUCAGGGUUUCCCCCAUUGUGCAAUAUUCCCCACUGCUGCCUCCCGUAGGAGUCUGGGCCGUGUCUCAGUCCCAAUGUGGCCGUUCACUCUCUCAAGCCGGCUACUGAUCGUCGCCUUGGUAGGCCGUUACCCUGCCAACUAGCUAAUCAGACGCGGGUCCAUCUCACAGCGAUAAAUCUUUGAAGGAACCUUCAUGCGGAGAUCCCUUGUUAUGCGGUAUUAGCAGCCGUUUCCGGCUGUUGUCCCCCUCUGUGAGGCAGGUUACCCACGCGUUACUCACCCGUCCGCCACUCAGUCAUUACCAUCUUCCCUCGAAAACGUUCCGUCGGUAGCGUCUUCGUCGACUUGCAUGUGUUAAGCACGCCGCCAGCGUUCAUCCUGAGCCCAGGAUCUAAA